GCCGUCGUGGUGUAGUGGUCAGCACGCUCGACGCGUAUUCGAGAGGUCCGUGGUUCGAGUCCUGACGAGGGCA
rnacentral:tRNA from 1 species